rnacentral:lncRNA from 1 species
CUGAUUGUUUGGGAAUCCUCAGUCACGCUACUAAUGAUCAGCUUUUAAUAGUCCAGUGCAGGGUUGGAGGACGACUCUUCUCCAUGGAGUUAUUUGAAGAGCCAACUCUUCCCAUCCUCUAGAGACUGAGUUCUUUUAUGCAUUCACUAGACAGGUGAAAGAAGACUUCAGAGGUAUGGCCUAGAAUUGGUACUCAUCACUUCCAUCCAUGCGCCAUUGGCCAACACUCAGUCCUAUGACCCCACCUACUUUCCCAAAGUUUUGGGAACUGUAUUCCCAGGAGGAAGAAAAGAAACUUGAAUAUUGGCAAUACUAGCAUUGCCUUCCUUAUCUCUGAGAGGAAAUCCAACAAAUAACUUCUACUUUUUGACAUUUUUAUGUCUUUUCCACUUUUUUCCCUAGUAACUAUGUAUUAUAAGAGAAAAAUGUAUAAUUAGAAGCUCUCAAAGUUUUUUAAAAAGCUACUUCUUUAGUUUCUAUGACAUGAAUUUGCACUGUCUAGAGUAUUUCCUUGGACAUUCAAAAGGUAAAAUUUGGUUCAGCAAGAGUUGCUGCUGCAGGAUUUCAUUAUUAACACCAUAAGAAGAAAUCCACGCAAUGUGAACAGUCCUUUGAUUCAACCGAUGGAAUUAAAUAUCUAAAUAGCAUUGAGAAGUACAUUGGUUAUUCCACAAAUUUAUCAAAUAUUGCUUAAGAAAACCAGGUGUUGAGAAAUCUAACUUUAAAUCAUGUUUUUGGUAGAAAGAGAUGGAAAGGUGGAAAUGUCUGAGAUGCAAACUCCUGAUCCUCAAGCCCUUUCCUGUGAGCAGUCUUUCUAUGGCUCAAUCGCUCCCAAACUGUCCUUAACCCAUCCACAUCUGCCCUCGUCUUUUUUGGGAGUAAAGAAGAAGCAGAGAGAGAGAGGAUGCUGGAGAAGUAUAGAAACCGCUUCCUUCAGUCUCUCCCUUCAACGUCCAGAGGCCAACAUUUAUUCUGGAGAGUACUGAAAAUGUUAACUCCCAAACUGUCGAGGUGAUGGCAAUCCUUUCUUCCUUCCUUCCCUCCAUCCAUCCAUCCAUCCACCCACUCACUUAUCCAAGAAACAUUGAUUGAGACUCGACAAGGAAAAAGGAACUGUGCAAUGUAACUUUAUUUUUGGUCUUCUACUUUGAUUUGCUACAUGAUGAUGAAAGUCUUUCUCAAUAUGCGUACUGGAGAGCUGGUACACUGAUGGAAAUUCUAUUUGCUCUAAAACAGCCCUUUUAAACAGGAUCUGCUCAGAUCCCAAUCUGGAAUCUUAUCUUAACCACCAGACCGUUCCUUCUGUAAUUCAGGAGAGCACCCCUCUACCCUCACCUGCUCAAAAUAUCCUGUAAUCUUUGUGUUCUCACUGUAGUUCUUCGAGUUUCAUAUUGUCCUUAUCCACCUCCAAGUCUAGUUGGAUUGCAGAGUUAAGUUUAUGAUUAUGA